rnacentral:rRNA from 1 species
UACGUAGGGGGCAAGCGUUGUCCGGAUUUAUUGGGCGUAAAGAGCGUGUAGGCGGCCAUACAGGUCAGCUGUGAAAACUCGAGGCUCAACCUCGAGACGUCGGUUGAAACCGUAUGACUAGAGUCCGGAAGAGGAGAGUGGAAUUCCCGGUGUAGCGGUGAAAUGCGCAGAUAUCGGGAAGAACACCCGUGGCGAAGGCGGCUCUCUGGGACGGUACUGACGCUGAGACGCGAAAGCGUGGGGAGCGAACAGG